AACUCCCAAACCCUUUGUGAACCUUACCUAUCGUUGCUUCGGCGGGAUCGCCCCGGCGCCUUCGGGCCCGGAACCAGGCGCCCGCCGGAGGCCCCAAACUCUUAUGUCUUUAGUGGUUUUCUCCUCUGAGUGACACAUAAACAAAUAAAUAAAAACUUUCAACAACGGAUCUCUUGGUUCUGGCAUCGAUGAAGAACGCAGCGAAAUGCGAUAAGUAAUGUGAAUUGCAGAAUUCAGUGAAUCAUCGAAUCUUUGAACGCACAUUGCGCCCGCCAGUAUUCUGGCGGGCAUGCCUGUUCGAGCGUCAUUUCAACCCUCAGGCCCCCAGUGCCUGGCGUUGGGGAUCGGCGUGGGCGGCGACGGCUCUCCGGAGUCCCGAGCCAAUGCCUGCCGGCCCCGAAAUUCAGUGGCGGUCUCGCUGUAGUCCCCCUCUGCGUAGUAGCACAACUCGCAUUGGAGCUCGGCGGUGGCCAUGCCGUAAAACACCCCACUUCUGAAAGUUGACCUCGGAUCAGGUAGGAAUACCCGCUGAACUUAA
rnacentral:rRNA from 1 species